AGAGUUUGAUCCUGGCUCAGGAUGAACGCUGGCGGCGUGCCUAAUACAUGCAAGUCGAGCGAACAGACAAGGAGCUUGCUCCUUUGACGUUAGCGGCGGACGGGUGAGUAACACGUGGGUAACCUACCUAUAAGACUGGGAUAACUUCGGGAAACCGGAGCUAAUACCGGAUAAUAUUUCGAACCGCAUGGUUCGAUAGUGAAAGAUGGUUUUGCUAUCACUUAUAGAUGGACCCGCGCCGUAUUAGCUAGUUGGUAAGGUAACGGCUUACCAAGGCGACGAUACGUAGCCGACCUGAGAGGGUGAUCGGCCACACUGGAACUGAGACACGGUCCAGACUCCUACGGGAGGCAGCAGUAGGGAAUCUUCCGCAAUGGGCGAAAGCCUGACGGAGCAACGCCGCGUGAGUGAUGAAGGUCUUCGGAUCGUAAAACUCUGUUAUUAGGGAAGAACAUACGUGUAAGUAACUAUGCACGUCUUGACGGUACCUAAUCAGAAAGCCACGGCUAACUACGUGCCAGCAGCCGCGGUAAUACGUAGGUGGCAAGCGUUAUCCGGAAUUAUUGGGCGUAAAGCGCGCGUAGGCGGUUUUUUAAGUCUGAUGUGAAAGCCCACGGCUCAACCGUGGAGGGUCAUUGGAAACUGGAAAACUUGAGUGCAGAAGAGGAAAGUGGAAUUCCAUGUGUAGCGGUGAAAUGCGCAGAGAUAUGGAGGAACACCAGUGGCGAAGGCGACUUUCUGGUCUGUAACUGACGCUGAUGUGCGAAAGCGUGGGGAUCAAACAGGAUUAGAUACCCUGGUAGUCCACGCCGUAAACGAUGAGUGCUAAGUGUUAGGGGGUUUCCGCCCCUUAGUGCUGCAGCUAACGCAUUAAGCACUCCGCCUGGGGAGUACGACCGCAAGGUUGAAACUCAAAGGAAUUGACGGGGACCCGCACAAGCGGUGGAGCAUGUGGUUUAAUUCGAAGCAACGCGAAGAACCUUACCAAAUCUUGACAUCCUUUGACAACUCUAGAGAUAGAGCCUUCCCCUUCGGGGGACAAAGUGACAGGUGGUGCAUGGUUGUCGUCAGCUCGUGUCGUGAGAUGUUGGGUUAAGUCCCGCAACGAGCGCAACCCUUAAGCUUAGUUGCCAUCAUUAAGUUGGGCACUCUAAGUUGACUGCCGGUGACAAACCGGAGGAAGGUGGGGAUGACGUCAAAUCAUCAUGCCCCUUAUGAUUUGGGCUACACACGUGCUACAAUGGAUAAUACAAAGGGCAGCGAAACCGCGAGGUCAAGCAAAUCCCAUAAAGUUGUUCUCAGUUCGGAUUGUAGUCUGCAACUCGACUACAUGAAGCUGGAAUCGCUAGUAAUCGUAGAUCAGCAUGCUACGGUGAAUACGUUCCCGGGUCUUGUACACACCGCCCGUCACACCACGAGAGUUUGUAACACCCGAAGCCGGUGGAGUAACCAUUUGGAGCUAGCCGUCGAAGGUGGGACAAAUGAUUGGGGUGAAGUCGUAACAAGGUAGCCGUAUCGGAAGGUGCGGCUGGAUCACCU
rnacentral:rRNA from 1 species